UACGGAGGAUGCGAGCGUUAUCCGGAUUUACUGGGUGUAAAGGGAGCGUAGACGGCGCGGCAAGUCUGAAGUGAAAGGCAGGGGCUUAACCCCUGAACUGCUUUGGAAACUGCCAUGCUAGAGUGCUGGAGAGGUAAGUGGAAUUCCUAGUGUAGCGGUGAAAUGCUUAGAUAUCACGAAGAACUCCGAUUGCGAAGGCAGCUCACUGGACUGCAACUGACACUGAGGCUCGAAAGCGUGGGGAGCAAACAGG
rnacentral:rRNA from 1 species